GACGAACGCUGGCGGCGUGCUUAACACAUGCAAGUCGAACGGAAAGGCCUGCUUUCCCUUGUGGAUUGCGGGUACUCGAGUGGCGAACGGGUGAGUAACACGUGAGUGAUCUGCCCCCAACUUGGGUAUAAGCCUGGGAAACUGGGUCUAAUUCCCGAUAGGACUGCAGGGUGGUGCCUGUGGUGGAAAACGAUUUUCUAGUGGUUGGGGAUGAGCUCGCGGCCUAUCAGCUUGUUGGUGGGGUAAUGGCCUACCAAGGCGGCGACGGGUAGCCGGCCUGGGAGAGUGGACGGCCACAGUGGGACUGAGAUACGGCCCAGACUCCUACGGGAGGCAGCAGUGGGGAAUAUUGCACAAUGGGCGGAAGCCUGAUGCAGCGACGCCGCGUGGGGGAUGACGGCCUUCGGGUUGUAAACUCCUUUCGACCGCGAGGAAGCCACCUGGUUGGAAGGGUGGUGACGGUAGUGGUAGAAGAAGCACCGGCUAACUACGUG
rnacentral:rRNA from 1 species